rnacentral:rRNA from 1 species
CCUACGGGAGGCAGCAGUGAGGAAUAUUGGUCAAUGGCCGCAGGGCUGAACCAGCCAAGUCGCGUGAGGGAUGACGGUCCUAUGGAUUGUAAACCUCUUUUGUCAGGGAGCAAAGGGCGCCACGUGUGGCGCUUUGCGAGUACCUGAAGAAAAAGCAUCGGCUAACUCCGUGCCAGCAGCCGCGGUAAUACGGAGGAUGCGAGCGUUAUCCGGAUUUAUUGGGUUAAAAGGGUGCGCAGGCGGAAUGUCAAGUCAGCGGUAAAAUUUCGGGGCUCAACCCCGUCGUGCCGUUGAAACUGGCGUUCUUGAGUGAGCGAGAAGUAUGCGGAAUGCGUGGUGUAGCGGUGAAAUGCAUAGAUAUCACGCGGAACUCCGAUUGCGAAGGCAGCAUACCGGCGCUCAACUGACGCUCAUGCACGAAAGCGUGGGUAUCGAACAGGAUUAGAUACCCGAGUAGUC